UGUAGGGUCAUUCAACUAUCCCCGCUCCCCAAGCUUAUCCGAACAGGGAAGCAGGUUUGGGGACAAUGGUUACCGACAGAGAGGGGGCUUCCACUCCACCAUUCCCAGUGAUCUCUCACGCCCACCCAGCCCGAAGUCUGACCACAACCUGACGGUGAUGAGAAACACAUCUCAUGCUAGCAGGAUACCCACCUCUAAUAAUCCACUGCAAAUUGCUCCCAGCCCUCCAAACCAGCGGAGACAGAUCAACCCUGUCAUGUCCAAACCCGUCAUGCUACCAAGUCAGACCUCACAUAGACCCACACUUCACUCUGAGACCAUGGUAAGAUGGCAAAUACCCAUGUGUGUACGUGCGAUGAUGAUGCAUGCAUAAGAUACUCAUUGGUUGGAUUGCUGUUUGACUCACUGAUUAUAAUGAGUUUUUUUCAAACUCAAGAGGAACAAACAGAUGUUGCUUUUACUGAUUGCACUGAUUAAGAAGGCGGAAACAGAAGGACAGAAGGGGAGAGAGGUGAAAUGGAGAUUUAUUUUUUAAAUCUGCGUACACAAUGAGACUUUCAGCAUUAAAAUGUCUUUGAUUGAUCAACCUGACAGACCUAGACCUGCUGUCCCCUUCUUCCUCCAGAUAGUCAGUCCUGCUCCAUCACAUCACAAAAGAAGCCAAUCGCUCUGCCCUGUCCUUGUGCCUCCUUAAUUAAAUAAAUGGGUGCUUGCCAAUUUUGUGGUUGUUUUAGAGGGGUAACAAGAAGGGCAAGAAAGGACAAGACCUUGUUGCCUUAAUGUGUCUCUUCAGCCUUUAUUUAUUAUUGUUAAAGGUUUUUGCUGAGGCUCAGGGUUAGAGAUUUGAUCAAGAUAACAGUUUUUUUUUUAUCACUAGGAUUCAUUUCUCAAUACUUAGGUCACCACACCUCACCUCACUUCACAUAGUGAGCACAACAGACAUCUAUGUGGGCUAAACUGUGGACCAUUUCCAUUGCUUUGGUACAAAAUACAUUCAAUUACUACAUUUUUAAAUUGCAUAAAUUGUCGACCUAUGCUAUUGUUAUAGAAGAUUAAAUUGAUGCGUAUGAAGUGUUUUGGUAGUUGUAGUGCGUAUUAGAUAU